UACGUAGGGGGCAAGCGUUGUCCGGAUUUACUGGGCGUAAAGAGCGCGUAGGCGGAAUGGUAAGCGGGGCCGGAAAGCCCCCGGCUCAACCGGGGAAGGGGCCGCGAACUGCCAUUCUUGAGGGGGAGAGGGGAGAGCGGAAUUCCUGGUGUAGCGGUGAAAUGCGUAGAGAUCAGGAGGAACACCAAUGGCGAAGGCAGCUCUCUGGCUUCACCCUGACGCUGAGGCGCGAAAGCGUGGGGAGCAAACAGG
rnacentral:rRNA from 1 species